rnacentral:tRNA from 1 species
AAAAGUAGAAUGGUUCAAAUAAUAGCUGCUAACUAAUAUUUAAGCGGUUCAAUUCCGUUUUUCUUUUU